rnacentral:rRNA from 1 species
GAUGAACGCUGGCGGCGUGCCUAAUACAUGCAAGUCGAGCGAACGGACGAGAAGCUUGCUUUUCUGAUGUUAGCGGCGGACGGGUGAGUAACACGUGGAUAACCUACCUAUAAGACUGGGAUAACUUCGGGAAACCGGAGCUAAUACCGGAUAUAUUUUGAACCGCAUGGUUCAAAAGUGAAAGACGGUCUUGCUGUCACUUAUAGAUGGAUCCGCGCUGCAUUAGCUAGUUGGUAAGGUAACGGCUUACCAAGGCAACGAUGCAUAGCCGACCUGAGAGGGUGAUCGGCCACACUGGAACUGAGACACGGUCCAGACUCCUACGGGAGGCAGCAGUAGGGAAUCUUCCGCAAUGGGCGAAAGCCUGACGGAGCAACGCCGCGUGAGUGAUGAAGGUCUUCGGAUCGUAAAACUCUGUUAUUAGGGAAGAACAUAUGUGUAAGUAACUGUGCACAUCUUGACGGUACCUAAUCAGAAAGCCACGGCUAACUACGUG